rnacentral:rRNA from 1 species
GACGAACGCUGGCGGCGUGCUUAACACAUGCAAGUCGAGCGGAAAGGCUCCUUCGGGGGUACUCGAGCGGCGAACGGGUGAGUAACACGUGAGUAAUCUGCCUCUGGCUUCGGGAUAGCCCUCCGAAAGGGGGAUUAAUACCGGAUAUGACCAGCUACUGCAUGGUGGUUGGUGGAAAGUUUUUUCGGCCAGGGAUGUGCUCGCGGCCUAUCAGCUUGAUGGUGGGGUAAUGGCCUACCAUGGCUUCGACGGGUAGCCGGCCUGAGAGGGUGACCGGUCACACUGGGACUGAGACACGGCCCAGACUCCUACGGGAGGCAGCAGUGGGGAAUAUUGGACAAUGGGCGGAAGCCUGAUCCAGCAACGCCGCGUGAGGGAUGACUGCCUUCGGGUUGUAAACCUCUUUCAGUACCGACGAAGCGAAAGUGACGGUAGGUACAGAAGAAGCACCGGCCAACUACGUG